rnacentral:lncRNA from 1 species
AGCAUUCCAGGGAGUAUGCACAGCUGAAAUCAGAGAGUUGUUGUUGAUCCCCACAUGCUCAACCAGAGGCUUGGGAUCCCAUUCAGGAUUCGGAAAUGAAUCGAACUCCACCAUAACGAUUUGGCUCUGAGGCGAAUCCAUAGUUGAGGUGUUAAACAAGCCCAUAAAGCCACCAGCGGAAUUGGGUGGGAUUUCAAAUCCAACCGGACCAAGGAAGAACGCUAGCCCAUGGCCGUAUCGAGAAAGACCUCGAGUGUCAAUGUUGAAAGAGAAAUGGGAAGUGAAAUCUGAAAGCUUUCCUGUGGUGGAGUCCCAAAGCAUGAUCCUUUCGGCAUAGAUGGCCCAACCAACUCGGCAUGUGUAGUCGUAAUUGCUGAUUAAUUCAACGAUACCACCAGAUGAAGGCUUUGCAUCGCCAUGAUAAAGGAGGUUGCUUAACUCAGGACCGAAGCGAGGUAUAUUGAAAUGAACUGAAAUAGCUAAUGGAAGAAGCUGAAGGAAGAAGAAGAAGACGAGCAAAUGCAUUGUCAGCAAAAAGGAAUUAGGAGGCGUGCAGCAACUGAGCCUUCCCUAUAUAUACAAGAAGACAACAAAACCAGCGGAAACAUCAAGGAACGACGUCGUUGCAGACUCCAUGACAAAGAAAAGACGGGAACUUAAAUGAAUACAUUACAAAACUUUUAUGAACUAAAUUAGUGUAACAGUUCAGUCCAAACUGAUUUAAAUAAUUUUUAAAUUUAUUUUUUAUUUGAUUCAAUUUAAAAUAGUUAACUCAAAUUAUUUAUUAAAUCAACAUUUAUAUAUUACCAAUUGAAUUGGUAAUUUGCCGAUGUGGGAAGUUUUUCCAUGUUAAGCAGCUGAAUAUUACACUCUUUCCAACUAAAUUUAUAAUAUUCUCGUCGCAACUGAAUAUUAAAUAGAAUUCAAUUACUAAACUAGGACUGAACCCUUGGAUAUUGUGGUUCGUUAGUACGUCAGGCGGCUCCACCUCGUCUUACAUGAGACCCAAAGUGGUUUUGAUACCAAUUGAAACAUGCCGACCCAAAUUGACCGAAAUAACUUUUAAACCUACUUUCCACCUGGUCCAAAAUGGUUAACCCAAUUCAUUUAAUAGUAUUAAGCCAACAUUUAUAUAUUACCAAUUGAAUUGAUAAUUUGCCAACGUGGGAUGUUUUCCCGCAUCAAAUGGCUGAAUAUCACAAUUACUUUUUAUAUAUUUUAUAUUUCUUAAAAACUUAAUCGUUCUUUUUUCACGUUUAGUUGGAAUUUUCUUUUUAAGAGAAAUUUUUUUAUCAGAAAGAUAUGGAUCCAUUAAAAUGUCAACAUGUCUAAAAGAUUAGAGUACUAAUAGAUUACAAUAUUAAUUUAUGAAGAACCAAACAUAGUCCAAGGUACUAGAGCCUAUCUAAAUAAAAAAUGAACAGAAGCAUCAACCUUAUACCCGUUAGAGCAGUUUGACCCAACACUCAACCCGGAAAAGCUUAAGGAAAAGCAUCGCCCAUCAUCUCUAAACUUUUCGCUGCUGGUGCCGACCAAAACUGAAAUAGAAGCGCUACUAUUCUAGCAUAGCUGAUGUAAUGUUUAAUCUUAUUGCUGGUUGUUAGUUUGUUUACUAUUAUUUGUUUUUUCAUAUUGCAUUAGUUGGUUAUUUUUUGUAUAGCACGUUGUUUAGUGUAUUAUGUGUUGGUUAGUUAUUGGUUAGUCAUGGAUUUGCUGGAGCAAAUCUUUAGGAACGUGGAGCAUUACAUGACAUUUUAUUUUGUAUUUAUUCUUCAAGUUUGUUGAAUAAAACUUAAUUGAGAGAAAAACGGUGUUGCUAUUACAACUCUAGAAAAAAAAAAAUUAAUCUAAGUGUCAUGUUCAUCGUCUUCUUCACCUGAUUUUUUAUUUUUGUUUUUAUUGAGUUUUGCGUGGGUUGUAUAUCUGACAUUUGGUAUCAGAGCCUUGCUCUUGUUUGCCUAAGUACAUACCAAGAAGAAUAAUUAAUUAGCCAUCAAGCUCUACUAGAUUCGACAAUGGAGAUCUAACCGACACGACGACGUCGCGGAUGACAUCUCGAGAAGGGAGUGUUAGAGCAACUAUCCUACAUGGGCAAUUAAAAUAGAGGUGUACAUGGAGGCCCAGGGCAUGUGGGAGGUUGUUGCAUUUGAUGAUCCUAUAGAACCAUGCAAGGAUAAGAUGGCAUUGGCAGUCAUCUAUCCAGGAAUCACUGAAGAGACCCUAUUGCAACUUGGUGAGAACAAGACCGCGAAGGAAGCGUGGAAUUCCUUGAAAACCAUGCACCUCGGCUUAGCUCGUGUGAUGGAGGUGAAAGCACAAACUCUGAGAUGGGAGUUUGAGAGUCUUUACAUGGAUGAUGAUGAAGCCAUCGAUAAUUUCGCUGGCAGGGUGUCUGUGAGCCGAGCUAGCCCAAAGUCACCCAGCUUGGCAUUAAAGUGAGAGUCUAGCAUUACAUUGCUUGAUUUGACAUCUCGGUGAACCACACUGUGAUACCCAGCCCAUUAAAAAAAAAGAAGAAAAAAAAAAGAAAAAAGAGGUCCAUAAACAUAUAUUUAUAUAUAAAAAGAAAAUUAUUAAAAUAAGAAAUAAAUAAAUUAAUUUAAAAAAAAAAGAAAGAGAAGAAAAGAGCAUUAAAAGCUCUGGUUUCAAGAAAGUUCUGUCCCAAAACAAGAGCAAGCUCUCUUCUUCCCGAAGAAAGCAGAAAGAGCAACCCUCUGUUAUUAAAAAAAAAAAUUUCCUCUUUCAACUCCAAAUCUCCUCCCACUCAACCCAAUCAAACCAUAAACUUCUGAAAUCCUCAGCUAGAUCCUAUUUUAAACCUAUAUCCUGCUCAUAAAUUCAAUAUUUUCUUCCAGCGGUUCCAAAAUUGGGUAGGUGAGUUUUAUCCUUUUUAUUCGAUUUAUUGCGAUAUAAUUUAUUUUCUCUACCUUUUAAUAGUGAUUUUUGGUGAUUUGAGAAUAAAAAGGGUAAGAUCCAAUUAAUGAGUUUUAAUAUUUAUUUUUGGGAUUAAUGAUUUUCAUAGGUUGAUUUAAAUAAUAUUUACAGCUUAUUGAGUAUUUUUGUUGAGUUUGGGUAUUUUUGGGAGGUCUAGCUAUGUCGAAAUACUGCCCAAAUUUUCUUAAAAAUAUAAUUAAAAUUUCGUAUUUUACGUUUUAUAUUAUUGUUCUAGAGCAUUUUUUAUUAUUUGAUAUAUUAUUUUAUUUUCUUUUUAAUUCUAGGAGAGGAUCCAGCUUCCAGGAUAGAUAAUAUGGGUCCUUCUGCGACCUAGGUCUUUUGUCCCAAGUAUUCUGGUGAGUGGAUAAAUAUAUAACAUUGAUAUUUUUCUUAAAUAUAUUUAUAUGUGUAUAUGUUACUUUGUUUAGUUAAAAUGGGAAAGGAUAAAGUUAAUUUAUAUUUCUGAAAUAAAUGAAAAUUGAAUUUAAAGCACAGUUGAAUAAAUAGCCGAUUACACUCUGUAUAUGCACCGAACAGAUAACACAUUGAUGACAGGUUAUUUAUUUUCAGCAUGAUAUAUAUAUUUAUACUGUCUUUGGGACAGCGCUUGAUAUACAGACAGCCUUUAGGGCGUAUGUCAGGUGGUCACCCUUUGGGGGUAGCUCUGCACAUGUGUAUGACCAGCAUUUCAUUAACUCUUGGGCCAAAUUUGUCAUUAUAGAGCCUAAGAUGUCAGCAUUGCUCUCAGGCUGUUAUUAUUUUAUUAUACCUGAGAUGCCAGCAUUAUCUGCAGGGAACAUAUUAUGAGUGUAUGCGGAUUCUAUUUUUCACAGUUUAUUUUAUAUUGAUGGAAUUAAAUUGUAUUUGUUCAGCUGACUUAUUUUAGCUAAAUAUUGGGUACUAUUAAGUACCUAAAGUUAUCUUUUUCCCUUUGUUAUUUAUUUAUCAGCUCACUGAGUAUGUUGUACUCACCCCUUAUAUUUCUUUUAAUAUUUCAGUUCCUUUUUGGUGAUCCGCUCAGCAGUCCUCAUCUCCUAGUUUAUCCUUCCUUCCACCUCGUCCACUCAGAGUCUAGAGGAGGUCGGACCAAUCCUAAGUCUUUUGUCUUUUCUUUUUGUAAUUUUGAUAGAUCAUGUAUAGAUUGUACAGCCCAGUGGAAAAGGUAUUUUGUUGAUUGUAAAUAUUUUAUGAAUUGACAGGUCCAACUAUCAGUUUUUCUCUUAUAUGCUUAAUGUUUUGAAAUUAUAGCAGGUUAUAUGUUUUAUAUGUAUAAAUAUUAGGGGAAGUUCUGUCAGUUUUUCGGGUCAUAUCCGUCUCUACAGUUUGGAGAUUGGGUGUGACAAUUUUUAGCCUUUGGGGAGUAUGUCAGGUGGUCACCCUUUGGGGGUAGCUCUGCACAUGUGUAUGACCAGCAUUUCAUUAGCUCUUGGGCCAAAUUUGUCAUUAUAGAGCCUAAGAUGCCAGUAUUACUCUCAGACUGUUAUUAUUUUAUUAUACCUGAGAUGCCAGCAUUAUCUGCAGGGAACAUAUUAUGAGUGUAUGCGGAUUCUAUUUUUCACAGUUUAUUUUAUAUUGAUGGAAUUAAAUUGUAUUUAUUCAGCUGACUUAUUUUAGCUAAAUAUUGGGUACUAUUAAGUACCUAAACUUAUCUUUUCCCCUUUGUUAUUUAUUUAUCCGCUCACUGAGUAUGUUGUACUCACCCCUUAUAUUUCUUUUAAUAUUUCAGUUCCUUUUUGGUGAUCCGCUCGGCAGUCCUCAUCUCCUUGUUUAUCCUUCCUUCCACCUCGUCCACUCAGAGUCUAGAGGAGGUCGGACCAAUCCUAAGUCUUUUGUCUUUUUUUUUUGUAAUUUUGAUAGAUCAUGUAUAGAUUGGACAGAUUAUAGCAGGUUAUAUGUUUUAUAUGUAUAAAUAUUAGGGGAAGUUCUGUCAGUUUUUCCGGUCAUAUUCGUCUCUACAGUUUGGAGAUUGGGUGUGACACACACACUGCUCCCACUCUUCAUGAAGAUAAAGCAAUGCUGAGGCCAACCCAAGAGAAAUCUUGUACCUCACGGCCCAUGUAAGAGAUCUCUUCUCUCCGAAAAGGUGAGCGUCUAGGCUACCAUUUGGCAUAAAUUCGUAAACAAGUAGAAACUCGCCUCUGUCAUGGCACCAACCUAAAAGUUGUACAGAUUCCGGUGUCUCAGUUGGCCAAUGGUUUUCACUUCUGUAAUAUACUCCUUCUUACCUUGUCUAGAUCCUCUUGAAAUUUUCUUCACAGCAAUUGCUAAAUCCAUGUCGAUUAACUAUCCCUUGUAAACAGCACCAAAUCCUCCUUUCCCCAGCGUCCUUUCAUCCGAAAAAUUAUUUAUAGCUGAAGCAAGAUACUCGUAAGAAAAUCUUCGUGGUCCAGCUUUUCUUUCAAUGUCUUCAUUGAUUGACGUCAAGUUCCUUGUGUGUCCUCUCCUCACCAUCAUCUGUUUCUUCGUCCUCCUCUUGAAAGAAAUCAAGAUUCCGGCGAUUGCCCCACCUGCUAGGACGCAUACUGAAACUGCAACACCAACUAUUAUUCUGGUCCUCUUUGAACUCUGUCUAUUUUCUCCCUGGAAAUUCAAACUAGAAUUGAAUUCCCAGGAUUGAAGUUGGUGUCGUUCUCCGAAUUGACCUGUAGCAGCUGAAAAUCCAAUAUUAACCCAUUCUGGCAAAACCUCCUUCAGAUCAAUUAUGUAAAACAAGCCAGUAUUCUCUUGAGCAUUGGAGGUUCUCUUGUAAGUCCAAAACACACUCAGAUUUUUAGUAUUAGCAUUGUAAGUAACCCAUACAUCGGCGGUAUCUCCACUGUGAAAGCUAGCAUUCCAGGGAGUAUGCACAGCUGAAAUCAAAGAGUUGUUGUUGAUCCCCACAUGCUCAACCAGAGGCUUGGGAUCCCAUUCAGGAUUUGGAAAUGAAUCGAACUCCACCAUAACGAUUUGGCUCUGAGGCGAAUCCAUAGUUGAGGUGUUAAACAAGCCCAUAAAGCCACCAGCGGAAUUGGGUGGGAUUUCAAAUCCAACCGGACCAAGGAAGAACGCUAGCCCAUGGCCGUAUCGAGAAAGACCUCGAGUGUCAAUGUUGAAAGAGAAAUGGGAAGUGAAAUCUGAAA